rnacentral:rRNA from 1 species
UACGUAGGUCCCGAGCGUUGUCCGGAUUUAUUGGGCGUAAAGCGAGCGCAGGUGGUUUAUUAAGUCUAGUGUAAAAGGCAGUGGCUCAACCAUUGUAUGCAUUGGAAACUAGUAGACUUGAGUGCAGGAGAGGAGAGUGGAAUUCCAUGUGUAGCGGUGAAAUGCGUAGAUAUAUGGAGGAACACCGGUGGCGAAAGCGGCUCUCUGGCCUGUAACUGACACUGAGGCUCAAAAGCGUGGGGAGCAAACAGG